AACACUGAACCAUAGCAAUAAUUUUAUAAACAAGAUACUGAGACAUAAAGAAAUUAACCACCUUGUUUGAGAAACAGUAAGUAAUACAGCUGAAAUUUUAACCUGGCUAUCCUUCUCCAAAGGCUUUCAUUUAUGGUUAGCAUUUUCUAUCUGUUUAGGAAAGCUAUGAAGAUAUUCUUCUAUCUUCUAAAGGUAUUAUAGUUUUACCUUUCACAGUUAGGACCUUCAUCCUCCUGGAAUUGAGUUUAUGUAGAGUGAGGUAAUAAUGGUCCAAUUUCACAGUUUCCCAUGUAUAUUCAAUUGUCCUGGCACCAUUUACUGAAAAGUCAUCUCUUCCUCAAUGAUCUGCAAUGUCACCUUUGUCAUAUAACAAGUGUCCACACACAUGGGGUUCAUGUUCUGCACUCUCUACUGUUCUGUUGGUCUAUCUGCCUCUCCUUAUGUCUGUACCUCACUAUGUUAAUUAGUGAAGUAUUAUAUACUAAGUUUUUUGGGUUUUUUUUGAGAUGAAGUCUUGCUUUGUCACCCAGGACGGAGUGCAGUGGUGCAAUCUCAGCUCACUACAAUCUCCGCCUCCCAGGUUCAAGCAAUUCUCCUUCCUCAGCCUCCUGAGUAGCUGUGAUUACAAGCGCAUGCCACCACGCCCAGCUAAUUUGUUUGUACUUUUAGUAGAGAUGGAGUUUCACCAUGUUGGUCAGGCUGGUCUCGGACUCCUGACCUCAAGCAAUCCACCCGCCCUGGCCUCCCAAAGUGCUGGGAUUACAGGCACAAGCCACCAUGCCCAGCCUAUACUACGUUUUGAUAUCAGGUUAUCAUAUAUAGGGCAAAUAAUCCUGUUCUUCAAAGGUACAGAUAUUCUUAAUACUUUGUACCUCCAUAUAAACUUUCAGUAUCAGCUUGUGAAGUUUCACUAAAAACAAAACCUCUUGGGAUUUUGAUGGGAGCUGCAUUCAAUUUAUUAAUCAAUAUUAGAAGACUUGCUAACAAUAUUGAGUCUUGCAAGGAAGCAGCUUAAUGUACUCAAAUUUUAUUUGUCUCAUGGAGAUUAGCCAACUAAUAAAAUUUUGGUGUUUAAAAGGGUUAUCUGUCUCACUGUUAUAGCUCACUGUCUAAAGAUUACUCUAGUAGUUGGGGUUUAUUAUAUCCUGUCUAAGAGGUAUUUCUGUUUGACUCCAGGAAGUAACCAUUUCUUCAAAUCAGCACAUUUAAAAACGUAUCAAAAUAAGUUCAUGUUUUUAAACUUACAGCAAGAAUAAAUAAGAUCACCUCUAAAGUUAAAAUAAAGCUUAUGUUACUUACGUGGCCCUGUGUUAACUGAGUAAGUUGAGCCAUGGUGAGCUUCACUUGUCCUUGUUGGGGGCGAGGGGGUUGUGAGGCUGAAGACUGUAUAUUUGAAGUGGACGUUGCUGAAGUUAAGCUUUUCUGCCCAGGUGUUGAGGAAACCGUGUUAGGGGCGGAGACUGCAGUGGAGACAGGCUGCCCCCUGAUGAUUUGAGUCAUCACUUGCUGAGGAGCACCUACCCAAACAGCAAAACAUUAUGAAUGCUUAUACACCCUUGGCAUUAUUUUGAAUUGAAAUAAUUCAACACCUCACAUGAACGUAUUCUUUUCCAUCUUCAAAAAAACACUGGGAUAUUCAGAGCCUAAGGAUACAUUCAGACAUAUACCCACAUCCAAAGGUCCUGCCUGGUUGGCAGUGAGUCUGUUUUCACUGCCAACCGUUAUCCAGUCUCUGCUGUCUGUAGGAUAAUGGAAAAAACCAAUUAAAAUUCUUCCUAUAAAUCUAAAACCAAAAUGAUAAUAGGGAAGACAAAAAAGAAUGUGUAAAAUAUGCCAUUUAUAAGGCUGCCUUUUCUUAGGAAUAUAAUAUUAAAAAUAAGAUGCUAAUUUAAUAAAAAAUUAAUUCAUAUGAAUUUUAAACAAAAUAUAAAGAAUCUGGAAUAUUCUGGGCCAACUGCAUUUAUAAUAAGCUUCUCUUACAGCUAUUUGACAGACAGCUUGGGAGAGCCAUGAAGGCAAGGACCACUAUAUCCUCAAUACUAGAGCAGAGUGCUCAAAUAAUGCUUUCUUUUCUUUUUUUUGAGACGGAGUCUCGCUCUGUCGCCCAGGCUGGAGUGCGGUGGCGUGAUCUUGGCUCACUGCAACCUCUGCCUCCUGGGUUCAAGCGAUUCUCCUGCCUGAGCCUCCUGAGUAGCUGGGACUACAGGCAUGUCCCACAACACCCGACUAAUUUUUUGUAUUUGUUUUAAUAGAGACGGGGUUUCACCAUGUUAGUCAGGAUGGUCUUGAUCUCCUGAUCUCGUGAUCCACCCGCCUUGGCCUCCCAAAGUGCUGGGAUUACAGGCAUGAGCAACCUCACCUGGCCCAAAUAAUGCUUUCAUAGUAAUUGUUCAAUAAAUGUCUAUUGAAUGAAUGAAGUUGAACUGGAAUGGCUCUACAGUUUU
rnacentral:lncRNA from 1 species